rnacentral:rRNA from 1 species
CAGCCGCCGCGGUAAUACGAAGGGGGCUAGCGUUGUUCGGAAUCACUGGGCGUAAAGCGCACGUAGGCGGACUUUUAAGUCAGGGGUGAAAUCCCAAGGCUCAACCUUGGAACUGCCUUUGAUACUGGAAGUCUUGAGUUCGGGAGAGGUGAGUGGAACUGCGAGUGUAGAGGUGAAAUUCGUAGAUAUUCGCAAGAACACCAGUGGCGAAGGCGGCUCACUGGCCCGAUACUGACGCUGAGGUGCGAAAGCGUGGGGAGCAAACAGGAUUAGAUACCCGGGUAGUCCCUGUCUCUUAUAC